AGAUAACUAGGGACUAUAGAGGGGGCCAGAAAAAAGACAAUGAAUUCUAGAAUAUAAUCUGGAACCAGAGAAGGAUGGAGAGCCAAAGAAAGUGAAGCCAGAUGCAGAAGUGGACGUCUUCAUCUUCAAUAACACUGAAAAGAAUGUGAAACUUUCCCUAAGAUGAAGAAGUGAAGCAAAAUGGGAGGUCACUGAAAACAGGACAGAGGCUGUGAGCUAGGUCCUC
rnacentral:lncRNA from 1 species